rnacentral:lncRNA from 1 species
CAUUCCACGUCUGGAGAAGUAGAAUAUUAUGUGGUGCUCCCGGACUUUUGCACUUGCUCUAUGGCAAUUAUACCUUGUGUCCGUUGUAUUAUCCUAGCACGUAGCGUUUUAAUACAUGUACUUUCACAUUUGUGGUAUUUUUGUUUGGGACCCCGAUAUGCCUGAGGCUAUACAGGGAUUUUAGGUAGUAUUGACGGCAUGCUCGGGCUUGCGCAGACCCAUUCCUACCUUAUGUCUCAUACCCGUUUUGUUUUGUCUUUGUCGUACCACUUAUUAUUGAGGGUUGGCCA